rnacentral:rRNA from 1 species
ACUCCUACGGGAGGCAGCAGUAGGGAAUAUUGCACAAUGGGGGAAAGCCCUCGAUGCAGCAAUGCCACGUGAGCGAGGAAGGUCUUCGGAUUGUAAAGCUCUGUCCUAUAGGAAGAAUGGUAUUAUGGUUAANACCCAUAGAUUUUGACGGUUACUAUAGAAGAAAGCACCGGCUAACUCCGUGCCAGCAGCCGCGGUAAUACGGAGGGUGCAAGCGUUGUUCGGAUUUACUGGGCGUAAAGUGCGCGCAGGCGGAUUAAGCAAGUCAGAUGUGAAAUCU